UUUCCUGGGAAGUGAGAAAGUGUGUUUAUUUGAGAAGCAAGACUGCCGAAGAAUCAGCUCCAUCCUGACCCACAGCAUGAAAGGAAAAUCUGCUUUGGAAACAGCAAAGUGAACAAGUCUUCUCUUGUUACUCUUGUUUCCUGGCUGCUGCAGAGUGAAUGUGACACCCUUCCAAAAAUUUGCAUCCCAAAUGCUGCCUGGGAACCUCAAGCGAAGCUAUCGAAUACUUCAUUUUGGAAAGGAAAUCUCUUCACCAGCUCUGGAGGAAGUAUGUAACAUGUGGUUCGACUGCAGUCAAACGUCAGUCUUGGCCGAUGGGAGGCUGAAUGUACGGCUCAACUGGUGUCACUGAUCUGCUGAGGCUGGCAGUGCCCACUGGUGGGAUAACACAAUUUUUAAGGCUUUGAAACUUGUUUUUGAACUCUUCUUCCUUGACAGGGAAAAGUGGUCUGGCAGAAGUGAGGUGGGCAGCCAGGUGAUAAGGUCCCUCAGUGGCAGCCACCUCACAAGCCCUCAAGGAUGGUCACAGCCCAUCACCAGGGUCCUGUUUGACUGGGUUUGCAGGCCACUGCUCAUUAAACCUUGAUUUUGGCACCUGUAAUAAAUGAGCCAUGUUCAUCCUUUUGGAAACCUAGGCAAAUUCCAAGAGCUGCAGCAGAGAUUAAUUUUGACCCAGCAAGUUACAGGGGGAAGCUGAAAAGUGUACUUGUCCCUUAAAAGACAAAACACACCUUUUGGGGAGCCUUUCUGUUUUGUAAGCAAGGAGACGACAGGGGUCAGAGAGCUCCUGGCGCCUGUGGACGAUUUUGGCCUUCAGCUUGAUGUUGGUUGUUAAAAAUAUUUCCCCAGAUGUAUUAAUACAACCAGACUGGAUUGCAUCUGAGCUGAACAUCGUGAGCCUAAGGCAGGACAUAAAUAUAGAAGCAAACCAGGCUGACAUAAGAGUCAUCUGUCCUCUUCUACACAAGAAGCGAAAGGGAAAGAGAGACAGCUUACUCUGUUGCAAUUUUUAGAUGCUUCCAGGCAUUAGCUUGGGCUUCUGCGAGUGCCUGCCCCGGGGCCCUGGGGCACAGCAGACCCCAUGUAUCCCUCGCUCAGCCCCCCGCAUGCUGUGCCACAGGACUGAGCACUCAGCACAUUUUUAACCCAGGGUUAGAUUUGCUUAGACAAGGUCUGCAAUUGGGAAUGACUAUUUGAUGUGUUUGCCUAACAGGAUUACCCUUAUCAUAAUGAUAUUGCAACCUGGCCUUGGCAGGGCAAACCCCAAGGUCUCAAGGGGUCAAACCCUCACCUCCCUUGCCCCAGAUAUGCACAGCAGAGCUUGCCUCUUAGCAUGCAAUAUCCAGCCAGUGUUUCAGUUGGCAUUUAAUACUCUGCUUUUGGAAAUGGCUCUUUUGCUGUGUACCACAGACUGCAGACACCACGCUUGGAAUUCAUCUCUCCACAUCUGAAAAAAAAUAAAAUCAAUAAUAUUUGAAGGCUGGAAAAACAAUGCAGUGUUUUACAAUUAGAGAACUGUACGCCUUCCCUGUUGGGAAUUGCCCUGAGCAGGUGCCUGACUGAAUUCAGUGUGAAUUUGUUGUCCUCUGGCUCCCUAAGAAUAGGUAAUGAACCAAUGAGUUGCCUGCUUUUUUUGUACUGUGUAUCGUGAACAUGCCUAAAAUCGUUACAGAAGCAUCUGUUUGUCCUAAAAGUGUAUCUGUGGUUAUUAAAGUCUGCUGACUUAAAAGACUCGA